rnacentral:rRNA from 1 species
AGUGAACGCUGGCGGUAGGCCUAACACAUGCAAGUCGAACGGCAGCACAGUAAGAGCUUGCUCUUACGGGUGGCGAGUGGCGGACGGGUGAGGAAUACAUCGGAAUCUACUUUUUCGUGGGGGAUAACGUAGGGAAACUUACGCUAAUACCGCAUACGACCUACGGGUGAAAGCAGGGGAUCUUCGGACCUUGCGCGAUUGAAUGAGCCGAUGUCGGAUUAGCUAGUUGGCGGGGUAAAGGCCCACCAAGGCGACGAUCCGUAGCUGGUCUGAGAGGAUGAUCAGCCACACUGGAACUGAGACACGGUCCAGACUCCUACGGGAGGCAGCAAUGGGGAAUAUUGGACAAUGGGCGCAAGCCUGAUCCAGCCAUACCGCGUGAGUGAAGAAGGCCUUCGGGUUGUAAAGCCCUUUUGUUGGGAAAGAAAAGCAGCAGGUUAAUACCCCGCUGUUCUGACGGUACCCAAAGAAUAAGCACCGGCUAACUUCGUG